AAGACUAUACUUUCAGGGAUCAUUUCUAUAGUUUCUGACUUCGAAAUGUGUUUCAAAAAAGUUGCGUCUCGCUAGCCACGAUGACGAGCUGCAAUGUUCCCUCCUGAGCGCGAAUCGAACAGAAAUCUAUGAUUUAUUCAUGUGAUUUCUGUUAUUGAUGACUGUCCCUAUUGAUUUUCUAUCGUAGGGGGGAGGGAACAUUUUCAGAGCGGU